rnacentral:lncRNA from 1 species
CUUUUUACCGGAAGUUUGAUCUUCAAUUUCUUGAAGAUUCUUUUUAGCUGUUUGGGUUGUGUUAAGCCCUUAGCAAGUGUACCAGAUCGUUAUCAAGUAAUAUAAUUGGUAAACCCAAUAUCGUUCUUCCCAAAGGACUCAAAGGCCUAAUCUUUCGUGUAACCCAAUCGCUUAAGACUUGAGAAAAGAAUUAGAUUUGAGUGUUGAAUGUAAAGAACAAAAACUAAACAUGCAAAUUCAAAUGAAUCAAUUGGCAAGGAAAAGCUAUGGAUGAAUGGUGUUAUUUGGGUUUACAAUUUCAUCUUAUCCACUCUCACAUAUCUACUCUUCUUAUUUACUUCACUUGUUUAUCCAAUUGCCAUGCAAACUUUCUUAGUCUACCCUUAGCCCAAUCCCUUGGUGAAAAGAGCCUAUUAUUAAUUACCGGCUUGUUAUCCUUAGCCUCCCCUAGUAACUAAUAAUGCAAAUCGAAUAGAAGCAAAAUACAAUUGAUCGUCCUACCCCUAUCCCGAGGUGGUAUUAGCAUAAUCAAGGAAUUUCCCAUCAGUUCAUGACAUUACCGUACGUCCCUGUAUCAAUAAAGACAAACCACUUUUACUGAAUGAGUUAAACAAUAAAAUCAUUAAACAUAGAUGAGAACCCAAAAAUUGAUAAACCAAGUAUAUGACAAGCAUAUGAAAUAGAUAAGAAUUUGGAUAAAUGAGAGUUUCAAAAGAUUACAU